rnacentral:rRNA from 1 species
AUUGAACGCUGGCGGCAGGCCUAACACAUGCAAGUCGAGCGGAGCGGCGGACGGGAGAGUAUUGCCUAGGAAUCUGCCUGGUAGCGGGGGAUAACGUCCGGAAACGGGCGCUAAUACCGCAUACUAUCAGACGAGGCUUGGUCGGUUUAGCAAGUUGGUGGGUUAAAGGCCUACCAGGGCGACGAUCCGCAACGGGUCUGAGAGGAUGAUCAGUCAAAUGGGAACUGAAACACGGUCCGGACUCCUACGGAGGUCAGCAGUGGGGAAUAUUAGACAAUGGGCGAAAGCCUGAGCAGUCCAUGCCGCGUGUGUGAGAAGGGUCUUCGGAUUGUAAGGCACUUUAAGUUGGGAGACGUUACCAGAAGAGAAAGCACCGGCUAACUUCGUGCCAGCAGCCGCGGUAAUAC